UACAGAGGUCUCAAGCGUUGUUCGGAUUCAUUGGGCGUAAAGGGUGCGUAGGCGGCGCGGUAAGUCGGGUGUGAAAUCUCGGAGCUUAACUCCGAAACUGCAUUCGAUACUUCCGUGCUUGAGGACUGGAGAGGAGACUGGAAUUUACGGUGUAGCGGUGAAAUGCGUAGAUAUCGUAAGGAAGACCAGUGGCGAAGGCGGGUCUCUGGACAGUUCCUGACGCUGAGGAACGAAAGCCAGGGGAGCAAACGGG
rnacentral:rRNA from 1 species